AAGAGAAGAAAUACUUGCCUCGUUCACCCUUCGAGGGGUGCUACGUAUGGCACCAAACUGUUAAGAAGUGGCUAUCAUAGUAGAUAUCAGCUCACUCGCUUGCGAUGGUGUGUUGUUCACGAUGGCUACUCCACUGGCUACAUUUAACAUCCUUAUUUUUGAGAGAAGUAAUGUGACAUCCCAGAUGCCAAUUAAGUCAAAUGGGUGUCAGAUACAGAUUUAGAAUAAUGAGUGCAUGAUAAUAUUUAUGCAGCGGAAUCAAACCUUAAGAAAUUCGUUACAAAUAUAU
rnacentral:lncRNA from 1 species